AAUGAAGGCAUCAUCCAGCAAGAAGGUUGAAAUAAAGAUUUAAGUCUCUGGAUAAUGAUUAUUGGGUGUAAAAGAAAAUGCUGCAGGCAUUAAUGUAUCAUCGAGUCACUGAUGCUGAAUACCACACACUUUUAAAUUUAAUUACUGUCAGUGGGACGAAAAGGAGUAACUGCCCAUUGAAUAGAAUGAAAGAGGAAGAAACAGUUGAAGGGGGAGAGAGAGAUAAUGAAGAGAGAAAUACUGAACCAAGACAAACCAGAAAAUAUUUUGAUCGUUGUGAUUACUGCCUUCCCCUCUACUUUAAACGGAACAGAAUGAUAUACUGGGAAUUGGAACUGCAUUGAGCUCCUGAAAUAAGAAAUUAGCUGCUGUGAAUGUUGUGAUAGAGCAUCAUCACACUAGCCAUUGUAACAAGAUUAUGGUGCUGCAUCUGCUGUAUCUUUUGCAUUAAGACUUUUUGAUUGUGUUGUUUGCAUUUUAACAUAAUCGGGUUACUGGCUGAGAGGCUUAUUUUGAUUUAGUAACUUUGUCAGUGAUGGAGGACCUUCUUGAAGGGAUUAAUUAUCUGAUAUUUUCCCUUGUUAUUGUUCCUUUAAAAGGACCCAUGAACACAUGUGUAAUGCUGAUAAGUAAACU